GGUAAUGAUGGCAGAGAGGUCACACCCGUUCCCAUACCGAACACGGAAGUUAAGCUCUCUAGCGCCGAUGGUAGUUGGGACCUUGUCCCUGUGAGAGUAGGACGUUGCCAGGCAA
rnacentral:rRNA from 2 species